GCGGUGGCUGCGCCAGCUGGGACGGCGUCGCUCCGGCGGCCGGCUCGGGAUGAUGCGCGGCGAGGAGGUGGCGGAGCGGCGUCGGCGUCGGCGUCGCCAAUGCCAUGGCGUAGCUGUGCGCAGCGGGGAGGGCAGUGUGGCUGAUUGGUUGGACGAUCGGAAUCUGGAACGUUUGUUGUUGGGCGGACGAUGGGAGGCGCGCGUUCCGCCUGCCCAGCGACAGCUUUGCUCGCUCGCUCGCUCNNNN
rnacentral:lncRNA from 1 species